rnacentral:rRNA from 1 species
GACGAACGCUGGCGGCGUGCUUAACACAUGCAAGUCGAGCGGUAAGGCCCUUUCGGGGUACACGAGCGGCGAACGGGUGAGUAACACGUGGGUGACCUGCCCUCAGCUCUGGGAUAAGCCUGGGAAACUGGGUCUAAUACCGGAUAUGACUCCAUGACGCAUGUUGUGGGGUGGAAAGCCUUGUGCGGCUGAGGAUGGGCCCGCGGCCUAUCAGCUUGUUGGUGGGGUGANGGCCUACCAAGGCGACGACGGGUAGCCGGCCUGAGAGGGCGACCGGCCACACUGGGACUGAGACACGGCCCAGACUCCUACGGGAGGCAGCAGUGGGGAAUCUUGCGCAAUGGGCGAAAGCCUGACGCAGCGACGCCGCGUGAGGGAUGACGGCCU